rnacentral:rRNA from 1 species
GACAGAGGGUGCAAACGUUGCUCGGAAUUACUGGGCGUAAAGCGCGUGUAGGCGGGCCGGAAAGUCGGGCGUGAAAUCCCUGGGCUCAACCCAGGAACUGCACUCGAAACUUCCGGUCUAGAGUGGUGGAGAGGGAAGUGGAAUUCCUGGUGUAGAGGUGAAAUUCGUAGAUAUCAGGAGGAACACCAGUGGCGAAGGCGGCUUCCUGGACACCAACUGACGCUGAGACGCGAAAGCGUGGGGAGCGAACCGG